UACGUAGGGUGCAAGCGUUAAUCGGAAUUACUGGGCGUAAAGCGUGCGUAGGCGGUUCGUUAAGUCAGCUGUGAAAGCCCCGGGCUCAACCUGGGAACUGCGGUUGAAACUGGCGAACUAGAAUCUGGCAGAGGGGGGUGGAAUUCCACGUGUAGCGGUGAAAUGCGUAGAGAUGUGGAGGAACACCGAUGGCGAAGGCAGCCCCCUGGGCUGAGAUUGACGCUCAGGCACGAAAGCGUGGGGAGCAAACAGG
rnacentral:rRNA from 1 species